UGCGGGGUAGAGCAGUGGUAGCUCGUCAGGCUCAUAACCUGAAGGUCGUAGGUUCGAAUCCUGCCCCCGCUA
rnacentral:tRNA from 1 species